rnacentral:rRNA from 1 species
UGGGGAAUCUUCCGCAAUGGACGAAAGUCUGACGGAGCAACGCCGCGUGUAUGAUGAAGGUCUUCGGAUUGUAAAGUACUGUCAUUGGGGAAGAACGGUUUUCUUGAGAAUAUUGAGAAGACAUGACGGUACCCAAGGAGGAAGCCCCGGCUAACUACGUGCCAGCAGCCGCGGUAAUACGUAGGGGGCAAGCGUUGUCCGGAAUUAUUGGGCGUAAAGGGCGCGUAGGCGGGCCUUUAAGUCCGGUGUGAAAGAUCAGGGCUCAACCCUGAGAGUGCAUCGGAAACUGGAGGCCUUGAGGACAGGAGAGGAAAGUGGAAUUCCACGUGUAGCGGUGAAAUGCGUAGAUAUGUGGAGGAACACCAGUGGCGAAGGCGACUUUCUGGACUGUAACUGACGCUGAGGCGCGAAAGCGUGGGGAGCAAACAGGAUUAGAUACCCUGGUAGUCCACGCCGUAAACGAUGAGUGCUAGGUGUAGAGGGUAUCGACCCCUUCUGUGCCGCAGUUAACACAAUAAGCACUCCCGCCUGGGGAGUACGGCCGCAAGGUUGAAACUCAAAUGAAUUGACGGGGUCAUAGCUG